AAACUUUUAACAACGGAUCUCUUGGCUCCUGCAUCGAUGAAGAACGCAACGAAACGCGAUAUGUAAUGUGAAUUGCAGAAUUCAGUGAAUCAUCGAAUCUUUGAACGCACAUGGCGCCUUCCAGUAUCCUGGGAGGCAUGCCUGUCCGAGCGUCGUUU
rnacentral:rRNA from 1 species